rnacentral:rRNA from 1 species
AUAUCAAUAAGCGGAGGAAAAGAAACUAACAAGGAUUCCCCUAGUAGCGGCGAGCGAAGCGGGAAAAGCUCAAAUUUGUAAUCUGGCGUCUUCGACGUCCGAGUUGUAAUCUCGAGAAGUGUUUUCCGUGAUAGACCGCAUACAAGUCUCUUGGAACAGAGCGUCAUAGUGGUGAGAACCCAGUACACGAUGCGGAUGCCUAUUACUUUGUGAUACACUUUCGAAGAGUCGAGUUGUUCGGGAAUGCAGCUCAAAUUGGGUGGUAAAUUCCAUCUAAAGCUAAAUAUUGGCGAGAGACCGAUAGCGCACAAGUA